GCUGGGUGUGGUGGCGGGCGCCUGUAAUCCCAGCUACUUGGGAGGCUGAGGCAGGAGAAUCACUUGAACCCAGGAGGUGGAGGUUGCAGUGAGCCAAGAUCAUGCCACUGCACUCCAGCCUGGGUGACAGAGUGAGACUCUGUCUCAA
rnacentral:SRP_RNA from 1 species